rnacentral:sRNA from 1 species
UAAUAUUAAAAUGGAAAUAGAAGUAAAGGGAUAGUUGAAAUUUGUGGUUUUGUGAGUCAUCACUUUUCUGUUUGGAGAUGAAAGAUAUGUUCUCUUUAAUCUAAACGGCAUUACGCGUAAAAAAAUACUUUCCCUUAAUUUUCAUCACAACCUUUAAUUUUAUUACUAAACUUCCUAUAUAUAUAGUAGUCGAUGCUCUAUUUCUAAUCACACGAUAAACUUUCUUAAACUUUGAGGAGCUCUCUCUCUAUUCAGCCCUUGUUUUUACUUUAAAAAAUCAUGUUCAAGUUACGUGAAAUUCGUCUCUUUCUCCAAUCACUGAACAACAAAUGGUGUCUCGUUAUCCAAUUGGUGGUUUCGCUUUCCAUAGGCACCAGUUUCAUCUACUUCUACGACAUUUGGGAAUCUUCUCUCAAAAAGAACGUAACUUUCUUCAAGUUGACGAUGAGGGUAUUCGUUUUUUUCUCUAUUUUGAUGCUACUUGUGAUGUACGCCACACCUCAAUUUUCUUAUAUGACUUAUGGGGUUUUUCGUAAACACAAGCACAUUAGAAAGAUGGUAAAGUGUUUUUCGGAAUCGUUCAUCGUGUGGUUAACAACACUCAUAGAUAGUAUUGUUGCUUAUUAUGGGUGACGUAGGGGGUUGGAUAGUCGUCCCAUUAACUACAAUAAUCGUUUUCACUAAGACUCUUAUGAUGGCCGAGUGUUGCGAGGAGUGUUGUGAGCAAAUGGAAGAAGACGCUUAUUCGGAAUGGCUCCGUGGUAUGGGCUGGUACAUGCCAACAAAUAGAUCUAUGCCAGCAUAAUCCUUUCAUUAGUCCUUAAAAUAAAUAGUAAAUAUAUAUAAAAGAUAAUGUAAAUAGAAAGAAAUAACACAGGACGUUUUAGUAUAAAGUAAAAGCAUAUAUUAAAAAUGAUGUAAUGGAAACAUUUCUU